rnacentral:lncRNA from 1 species
AACAUGGUUUUUGUUUAAAGUAAGCUUUUUUUCUCCUUGAAUUGUAUUCUUCCACUCUUCUUUCACAUUAAACACGUUUUUUAACAACCUUAGGACUCCAGAUUGUGCAGAAGGCUUGAACCAAAGCCAUUUUUCUAUAAUAUUUCCAGAAGUUGCAAACCGAGUAGGUAUGCCACUGUCCUUAUGUUUUUCUCUUCCAUUUAGUUAAUCUAGUAUUUUGUAACCUAGAAUAAUAAUAGAAUAAGGGGGAUUAGUUAGAAAUCAAUUAGACAAAGCUAAACACUCUAGGAAACUAGAAAUUAAUCUCACUUUCUAUAAUAGUUGCAUGUAUUACAUAAUUGUUCUUCAAAUAUUUUCAAUCCAAUAUUU